GCAGCAGCCGCGGUAAUACGUAGGAUCCAAGCGUUGUCCGGAUUUACUGGGUGUAAAGGGUGCGCAGGCGGGCUUGUGCGUCAGAGGUUAAAUACUUCGGCUCAACCGAAGAAACGCCUUUGAUACGGCAAGUCUUGAGUGCGAGAGAGGAUGGUGGAAUUCCUGGUGUAGCAGUGAAAUGCGUAGAUAUCAGGAGGAACACCAGUGGUGAAGACGGCCAUCUGGCUCGCAACUGACGCUCAGGCACGAAAGCGUGGGUAGCAAACAGGAUUAGAUACCCUGGUAGUCCACGCCUUAAACGAUGUAUGCUUGGUGUUGGGAACAUUUGUUUUCGGCGCCGAAGGUAACCCGUUAAGCAUACCACCUGGGGAGUACGAUCGCAAGGUUGAAACUUAAAGGAAUUGGCGGGGGAU
rnacentral:rRNA from 1 species